AAGCAGCUGACACAUGCCCGGUGGAAGCUGUCAUCUCUCUCCUUGUGGGUUCAGAGCUGCAAGAAGCACCAGGCUCGGCCACUUCAGAAGCCCCAGCCUCGACCUAGCCCACCCUCUCAAGGCCACAGUGCAGAAGCCUGCACCACCUGCCAAGUCUCUCCGGCUCCUUGCAGCUGCUGUCAGCAUGGCCCAGGCUCCUGCUGACCCGGACAGAGAAGGUACAGUACUUCUUCCUUCCAAGGACCAGCAGUAGCUCCUGGGGCCACCUUGAACAGAGGAUCCUGCAGGUGCUGACAGAGGCUGGCUCCCCGGUGAAACUUGCCCAGCUGGUGAAGGAAUGCCAAGCGCCCAAGAGGGAGCUCAACCAAGUCCUCUACCGAAUGAAAAAGGAGCUGAAAGUCUCCCUCACAGCCCCCGCCACCUGGCGCUUGGGCGGGACUGAUCCUGAAGGCGAGGGUCCUGCAGAGCUGGCCUUGUCCAGCCCUGCCGAGAGGCCCCAGCAAUAUGCAGCUAGAAUUCCAGAGACCCCUGGCCCUCAGUUCAGCCAACAACGGGAGGAAGACAUCUACAGGUUUCUCAAAGACAAUGGU
rnacentral:sRNA from 1 species